CGCGCAGGCGGUCGAUUUAGUCGCGUGUGAAAGCCCCCGGCUCAACUGGGGAGGGUCACGCGAUACUGAUCGACUCGAAGGCAGGAGAGGGAAGUGGAAUUCCCGGUGUAGUGGUGAAAUGCGUAGAUAUCGGGAGGAACACCAGUGGCGAAGGCGACUUCCUGGCCUGUUCUUGACGCUGAGGCGCGAAAGCUAGGGGAGCAAACG
rnacentral:rRNA from 1 species